rnacentral:rRNA from 1 species
CCCUUAGAUGUUCUGGGCCGCACGCGUGCUACACUGGGUGGGUCAGCGGGUCAGGUUGCGCGAAAGUGUUUCCUAAUCUUUAAAUCCGCUCGUGAUGGGGAUUGACGGUUGCAAUUUUCCGUCAUGAACGAGGAAUACCUUGUAAGCGCGGGUCAUCAUCCCGCGCUGAAUACGUCCCUGCCCUUUGUACACACCGCCCGUCGCUCCUACCGAUUGAGUGGUCCGGUGAGGCUUUGGGAUCUGAGCGGAAAGAGCGUUUCGCUGUUUCUGCCCGGAAAACUCAGUCGAACCUUAUCAUUUAGAGGAAGGAGAAGUCGUAACA